rnacentral:rRNA from 1 species
GAUGAACGCUAGCGAUAGGCCUAACACAUGCAAGUCGAGGGGCAGCAUAAGGAAGUAGCAAUACUUUCUGGUGGCGACCGGCGCACGGGUGAGUAACACGUAUGCAACCUGCCUUCAACAAGGGGAUAACCCGUUGAAAAACGGACUAAUACCCUAUAAUACAGGGGUCCCGCAUGGGGAUAUUUGUUAAAGAUUGAUCGGUUGAAGAUGGGCAUGCGUUCCAUUAGCUGGUUGGUGAGGUAACGGCCCACCAAGGCAACGAUGGAUAGGGGAACUGAGAGGUUUAUCCCCCACACUGGUACUGAGACACGGACCAGACUCCUACGGGAGGCAGCAGUGGGGAAUAUUGGUCAAUGGACGCAAGUCUGAACCAGCCACGUCGCGUGAAGGAAGACGGCCCUACGGGUUGUAAACUUCUUUUAUACGGGAAUAAAGUGCCCCACGCGUGGGGUUUUGCAUGUACCGUAUGAAUAAGGAUCGGCUAACUACCGUGCCAGCAGCCGCG